ensembl:lncRNA
UUUUUAUUUAUUUAAUUUUUCCCAAUUGUCCAAAUUAGUCUGUGAUUGGCCUUAUUGUCCAAGAAAUCAUACUUAUAUACAAAUAAAUGUGACUCUCAAAUAUGAUUUAAAUGGAUCAUUCCUCACUUGAUGGCGAAUUAUCCAUUUAAAUAUUUGCUGAGUCCUAAAAUUGAUGCCAGUGAACUUAUCAGCGGUUGGUUUUAAAAAAAAGCCCCAAAAAUCCCCUAUGAGCAAGCACUUGGCGACGGUGGGGAGGAAAAACUCCCUUUUAACAGGGAGAAACCUCCGACAGAACCAGGCUCAGGAAGGGGUGGCCAUCUGUCGCUGCCGACUGGGGUUCAACUGUUCACUGUGCAUCCUCCUUCUGACAGGAGCUUCCUACAGACCAGGUAUGAAUGAUGCCUGAGUGGACAUACAAAACUCACAAGUUCCUGGCUCUCACGGCUCCUCUGCAGAGGGUUAGUCGAAGAAGGAGGGGCAUCAGGGGGCGGGGGACUGUGCCUCACUGCCCUCCCCUUCUCGAAGAAACCCGUCUUCAACCGAGCCGAGAGAGCCAGGAACUUGUGAGGUGUGCAUGUCCUGGUGAGCCUCCACCUUUUUAUAGGUGGGUGCAGCCUCGACUGUAUAGAGACAGACCAGGCCAGCUGCACCACACAGACACUUCAAACCUCAUCUGAGGACAUAAAACACACAUAUACAUAUAUAUCUAUAUUACUAUUAAAAAAAAAAUACAGUUAGGGUUCUUUUACAAUGUCAGAAGGAGGGAGGCACUAAGGCACCGCCUUCCGCCCCUGGACGCCCUCGCGGUGCCCCCCUCCUUCUGACAAGAACUUCCUACAGACCAGGUAUGAAUGAUGCCUGAGUGGACAUACAAAACUCACAAGUUCCUGGCUCCCACGGCUCCUCUGCAGCGGGUUAGUCGAAGAAGGAGGGGCAUCGCGAGGGGCGUCGGGGGGCGGGGGACUGUGCCUCACUGCCCUCCCCUUCUCGAAGAAACCCGUCUUCAACCGAGCCGAGAGAGCCAGGAACUUGUGAGGUGUGCAUGUCCUGGUGAGCCUCCACCUUUUUAUAGGUGGGUGCAGCCUCGACUGUAUAGAGACAGACCAGGCCAGCUGCACCACACAGACACUUCAAACCUCAUCUGAGGACAUAAAACACACAUAUACAUAUAUAUCUAUAUUACUAUUAAAAAAA